rnacentral:rRNA from 1 species
UCAAUGAAAUUUUAAUAGCCGCAAUAUUCUUGUGCUAAGGUAGCAUAAUCAUUUGUCUUUUAAUUAAAGACUAGAACAAAAGAUUCAACAUUUUCAUUUCUUUCUCAAUUUUAUAUAUUAAAUUUAUACUAAAUAUAAAAAUAUAUUUAUUAUAUAAAAAGACGACAAGACCCUAUUGAACUUAACUAAAGUUUAACUGGGGCAGUUAAUUAAAUAUAAUUUUAAUUCUAUACUUAUAAAUACCUAAUAUAAUUAAAUAAAUCAAGUUACCAUAGGGAUAACAGCGUAAUAAUUUUCUAUAGAUCUUAUUCAAAAAAUAUUUUGCGACCUCGAUGUUUAAUUAAUAAUCUAUUAAAUGCAAUAAUUAAUAAGAAAGUC